AUCCCAUUUUACAAAUCAGAAGUUGAUGUACAGAGAGACAAUGCUUUGUGGAAAUAAUUAAAUGGGAAGCCAUUAAACCUGAGGUGAUCCUGAUGCCCUGCGUAGGUAGCCAAGCCUGAAACCUAACUCAGAAUUUAGAAGAAAAUAAAAGUUAAGCUCAGCCAAUGACAGAUGAGUAACUGGGCACUUGUCAAAUUGCCUUCAACAUCUCACCAGGAUAAUCCAAAGAAGACAUGAAAUGAACAGUUCUGCUCUGCCAUGUGCUCUCACUAUGAUGUGCUGCCUCACCACAGGCCCAAAGCAAUGGAACCAACUGAUGAUGGAUCGGAACCUCUAAAACUGGAGUCACUAAUCGAUUCACAAAAAUAUCAAGUCCCCAUUGUGACCUCCUCCUGCAACAAGGCCAUGAACAUUAGUCUAGAAUGGCAGAUUGCUGGGAAAGUUGACAGUCGUUCUCACAGGAAACGAACUUCAGUUGUUCUGGAGAGAUGUGGAAGAGAACAUUCAUAUUUGAGAGCAUGCAGAGAAGGUCCUGGUAAUACUUUUUGGAAAGUUUUAGCAAAACUGAAAGCAGAGUAAAGAAUAAAUCAACUCUCAUUACUUUUCAAAACCCUUCAUUUUGUCACACUAAUUCCUAGAGAUUAAACAAAUUUUAGGUCCAAAACUUAAAUUCUAUUUAUUUUUCCCCUGGGCAGGGAAUAGAAAGAACUAUGAGCGACUGAACUAUUAAGUUCAAAGUUUUUUAAUUAUAUUACUUCAUUUUAUCUUCAUA